rnacentral:rRNA from 1 species
GGAAUCGGCAGCUACCAUGCAAGUCGAACGGUAACAGGGAAAAGCUUGCCUUUCCGCUGACGAGUGGCGCACGGGUGCGUAACGCGUAUACAAUCUGCCUUUAAGCGGGAAAUAGCCCAUGGAAGCGUGGAUUAAUGUCCCAUAGUAUUAUGAGUUCACCUGGACUUAUAAUUAAACAUUUAUGGCUUAAAGAUGAGUAUGCGUCCUAUUAGCUAGAUGGUAAGGUAACGGCUUACCAUGGCAACGAUAGGUAGGGGUCCUGAGAGGGAGAUCCCCCACACUGGUACUGAGACACGGACCAGACUCCUACGGGAGGCAGCAGUGAGGAAUAUUGGACAAUGGAGGCAACUCUGAUCCAGCCAUGCCGCGUGCAGGAAGACUGCCCUAUGGGUUGUAAACUGCUUUUAUACGGGAAGAACCACUCUCACGUGUUGAGGGCUUGACGGUACCGUAUGAAUAAGGAUCGGCUAACUCCGUGCCAGCAGCCGCGGUAAUACGGAGGAUCCAAGCGUUAUCCGGAAUCAUUGGGUUUAAAGGGUCCGUAGGCGGGACAAUAAGUCAGUGGUGAAAGUCUUCCGCUUAACGGGAGAAUUGCCAUUGAUACUGUUGUUCUUGAAUUAGUAUGAAGUGGUUGGAAUGAGUAGUGUAGCGGUGAAAUGCAUAGAUAUUACUCAGAACACCUAUUGCGAAGGCAGAUCACUAAUACUAUAUUGACGCUGAUGGACGAAAGCGUAGGUAGCGAACAGGAUUAGAUACCCUGGUAGUCUACGCCGUAAACGAUGGUCACUAGCUGUCCGGCCAAAUUGAUGGCUGGGUGGCCAAGCGAAAGUGAUAAGUGACCCACCUGGGGAGUACGUUCGCAAGAAUGAAACUCAAAGGAAUUGACAGGGGCCCGCACAAGCGGUGGAGCAUGUGGUUUAAUUCGAUGAUACGCGAGGAACCUUACCAGGGCUUAAAUGCAGUCUGACAGGGGUGGAAACACCUUUUUCUUCGGACAGAUUGCAGUGCUGCAUGGUUGUCGUCAGCUCGUGCCGUGAGU